ACAUUUUCUUUAUCGUGCCAACGUUUCGAUCUUUUAUUGAGAUCAUCUUCAGGGCCUGGGAUUUGUGAAAGGUUGUGUUGAAGUUUGCGAUGUGACAAGCAUUAUCUCAAUUGUCAAGGACACGUUUGGUCUAUCACUAAAAGAUAGUGUCUUCAUGAUUUAUCAAUAGUAGGAGGUUCAUGUCUGAUUUAUUCUAUUUUUCUUAUUCAAGUCAAUCCAAACUUUUCUCCACUGAUACUAUAUACAUCUUUUGUUCUUUUGUGGAAGCCCUAUGAUUCAAUCUACACUGUGGAAAGUGCUUUUUCCCACAAAACUAAGCCCUUUCUCUGGUGCCUCUUUAGACUUUACGCACUUCCUUAGUGCAAGAAAUGUAUUACCGAAGUAAUAAGUGCUGAUGUCUAAGGUUUGUUUUUUAUAGGUUGACAUGUUUCUGCCUCUGCUUUGACCAUCUGAAAAAUCAUUGACCUAAAUGCAUUUAUGCAUCUUGACUGCGUACACGCUAUCCCGGUUCAAAAUGGGGUACGAGUCUACCCAGGCAUUUAACCCCUCGGGUCUUGGUCGCCCACCCUGCAUAAUAUAUGCAUCUUUAGCUUGUGCAAACUUGCACACCGAAACACAAGCUAUACUCUGCAUAUGCAAAAUGAUCGGCCCAGUGCAUUGUCGGUGAUUUAGUGUGUUUGUUUACCCUUGCACUCUCUUUCCAACUGAUCAGCCAUAGUAGAUAUUCUAAGUGGAAAUAGACAGAUGAGGAAGAGCUGGUUUGACUCUGAGGACGGUUCUAAGAUGGGAAACCGACCAAUGCCACCCUAGGUCAUUACAGACAUAAUUGUCCAGGCUCACAGCAUUGGCCAGAACUGCGGACUAUGACACUACAGCAUGUUUAGGACAGAUCAUUCAGGGGUCCAAUGACAACCCUCUUGUCAUUCUCUGGCGGAGAGAUAUGUUGAGAUGGGGUUGUCUUGACAAAAUGGUAGUAAUACUCUGGGUACCCGGAAACAUCGGGCUGGAGGGCAAUGAAUGUGCAGCUGUGGCUGUGAAAGCUGAGAUGUAUCACCCUACAGACUGAAAACCAAGGCGAUCCGGCCUGGUGUGAGCUGUAAACAAUAUUAAGAAAGCAUUGGUACCAUCAGUCUGAGACGCUCUUGCUAAACUGUGCAAAAAUGAAUAGGGAUAUUUGUAUAUAUUAUUUUUAUUCUAUUAAUUUUAA